GGGUGAAGUUUGAGGAGAAGGUGGAGGAGGGAGGAGAGCGAUGGAGCAAGCCUCAUGUCUCCACGCUGACCCUCCACAGCCUGUUUGAGCUCAGGACCUGUCUGCAGACGGGGAGCAUUCUGCUGGACCUGGAGGGCUACUCUCUGCCACAGAUCGUGGAUGAGAUCGUGGAUCGACAGGUGGCCGACGGUCUCAUUCCUCCGGAUCUGAAGGAGAAGAUCAGCUUUGUGUUGCUCAGGAAGCACCGUCACCAGACCAAGAAGCCCAUCCACCGCUCGCUGGCAGACAUAGGGAAGUCCUCCAACGCUGCUUCCAACCGUAGUCCUCAGGUUAAUCUGAGUCAUAGCACUAGUUCUGCUUCUGGGACCAACCGCUCAACAGAAGACCUCCGCUCUCGGCAGCCAGGCAGCCUUAGCCAUAUGCGUAAGUCUCAAU